GCUUGUUAAGCCAGGUGUCAAUCCAGAGGCUCAACCUCUGUCCGCACUUGGAACUGGCAGGCUUGAGUCUGGUAGAGGAAAUGGAAUUCCCAGUGUAGCGGUGAAAUGCGCAGAUAUUGGGAAGAACACCAGUGGCGAAGCGGUCUUUCUGGGCCACGACUGACGCUGAGGCGCGAGAGCUGGGGGAGCAAACAGGAUUAAUACCCUGGUAGUCCCAGCCGUAAACGAUGGACACUAGGUGUGGGGAGUUGAAAUCCUCCUGCCGCAGCCAACGCAUUAAGUGUCCCGCCUGGGGAGUACGGUCGCAAGACUAAAACUCAAGGAAUUGACGGGGGCCCGCACAAGCAGCGGAGCAUGUGGCUUAAUUCGAAGCAACGCGAGAACCUUACCAGGGCUUGACAUACAGGUGAAGCGGCGGAAACGCCGUGGCCGAGAGGAGCUGAACAGGUGGUGCAUGGCUGUCGUCAGCUCGUAUCGUGAGAUGUUGGGUUAAGUCCCGCACGAGCGCAACCCUCAUCGUAUGUUGCCAGCAUCAAGUUGGGGACUCAUACGAGACUGCCGCGUUAAGCCGGAGGAAGGUGGGGAUGACGUCAAGUCAUCAUGCCCCUUAUGCCCUGGGCGCACACGUGCUACAAUGACCGGUACAAAGGGCUGCCAACCCGCGAGGGCGAGCGAAUCCCUAAAGCCGGUCCCAGUUCGGAUCGGAGGCUGCAACCCGCCUCCGUGAAGUCGGAGUUGCUGUAAUCGCGGAUCAGCAUGCCGCGGUGAAUACGUUCCCGGGCCUUGCACACACCGCCCGU
rnacentral:rRNA from 1 species